rnacentral:tRNA from 1 species
GCCUGGCUGGUUCAGUUGCUAGAGCACGUGACUCUUGAUCUCGGGGUUGUGAGUUAGAGCCCCAUGUUGGGUG